rnacentral:rRNA from 1 species
CGCAAUGGGCGCAAGCCUGACGGAGCGACGCCGCGUGAUUGAUGAAGUCCCUCUGGGACGUAAAGAUCUUUUAUCAGGGAGAAAGUUUAUUGAUAGUACCUGAUGAAUAAGGGGUUGCUAAACUCGUGCCAGCAGCAGCGGUAAUACGAGUGCCCCAAGCGUUAUCCGGAAUUACUGGGCGUAAAGGGUGUGUAGGUGGUUGUGUUAGUCUUUUGUUAAAUUCUUCGGCUUAACCGGGGGCAUGCAAAAGAAACGGCACAACUAGAGGAUACGGGGGGCCUGUGGAACUCAUGGAGUAGGGGUGAAAUCCGUUGAUAUCAUGGGGAACACCGAAAGCGAAGGCAGCAGGCUGGCGUAUUCCUGACACUGAAACACGAAAGCGU